GGAAAGGUGACAGAGUGGUUUAAUGUGCACGCUUGGAAAGCGUGUGUUGGGCAACCAACCGCAGGUUCAAAUCCUGUCCUUUCCG
rnacentral:tRNA from 1 species